UGGAUAAUAGCGUGAACCCCUAUUUAUAGGAAUACUAGGUUGCCCUAAUUUGGCUACAAGACAAAAUAAGAAGUCGGCGGAGCACCCCCUCGACGUGAAGUCGAGCCAACCAUGUCGAGCCCGUGUGAUUCUUCAAAGGUAGCUCCUUCUGGCGUCCUACUCGACGUGUCAUCGAGUCCGUGUGGUCGAGUCUGCUCCCAGGCGGCUUCCUGGCAUCCUACUCGACGUGAAGUCGAGCCAUGAUGUCAAGUCUAGUCCUGGGUGAUCUUGAACGACUUCAUUCCUCUCCAACUCGAUCCCAAGUCUAGCUCCAAGGUCGUGUUGGUUCCUCCUUGCUCCAUUAAGUCCCAAAUAAGCUCCAAAGUACCUGAAACUCAUCCAAUAUGCAACAUGCUAUGCCAUGCAAUGCAAAUCGUACUAAGUGAUGAAAAUGUUAUGAAAAGGACUCUGGAUGCAAUGAAAGAGAGAUGAAACUUAGCUAAAUGUACGAGAAAAGUGUGCUUAAAAGUGGUAAAAUACAGAGACAUCAACUCCCCCAAACUUAGCUCUUGCUUGCCCUCAAGCAAACAAAUAGAACUAAGCUGGAGAAGAGGUUUGAAGGUGGAGACUCAUAACCAAAAACAUGCAUAUAGAGUAAGUGAAUUCAAUGUCCAGGUUGCUAAUUCUAGAAUGCAAGGUUGACUGAUCUCUACUUAAAAACAUUAGCCAUCUCCUUCACAUCUCAACCUAACCUCUGCCUUAAUCAAUUCAAGCAUUCAAAUCAGCACAUUCCCUUUAACAUUGAUUAAGCAGGAACCGUGAAUCAUACUAUGCAGUGGAUAUGAACACAUUUGGCUUAAGGGUAGAGGUCUAGAGACAAAGAUGGUCCCUUAAAGAUCUGGUUUAAAUCGUCACAGGGGAUCUCUCAAGAAUGAUUGAGCUUUAGUAGAAUGCUAAAGGUGAGUAUCAAGUUAUGCAUACAAGGAUAGAACCCCAUCUACCCAGAAUGUAAUCAAUAUCAACCCAAAUAGAGGUCCUAUUUCUAAUCCCAGAAUCAUGAACUUAACUCUACCCUUUUGCACUCAAAGCAUUUACAGACUUUACUCAAAUCAUUCCUUUCUUUUCUUUGCUUUCUAUCCUAGGAGAAGCUUUCUUUUUCUUUUUACCUUGUCUAGCGGAUUAGGAUUCUUUAACAACUAGGGUUCCCUUUUCUUUCUUCUUAUAAACACAAGGCUUUUGCCCAUUCUCUUUAAGCUAUUUACAGAACCCUUUUUCCUUUACUUUAGCACACCCAAAUCCUUUACUAGACUUCUCUUACUUUAGCUACUUCUCCUUAGGACUCUUUUCCCUCUUCUUUUCUUUCAAUGAUGAACACAACCUUUUCUUUCUUUUAAACACAACCCAAACCCAGAAUGUAAGCACCCACCUAGUCCUAUCUGGUCCAGAUAACGUGAACCAGAACUACAUGAGAUACUAUCCUUGUCGUUACAGACCUAACACUUUCUACCAAGCUCAAUCGGAAUAAGGCCUCACAUUCACACACAAAUGAUAAAUGGCUUGAAGGAAGGUUAGGGCUAAGGGUGGGGAAUAACUGCUCCAAAGAUGGGAGUCAGCUACUUGGACUAGCAAGAGUGAUCAAAAGGUAAAAGAAAGUCCAAGUAUUUUAAGGUAUCCAUGAGUUCAUAGCACAAUGCACAGCAUGAUAAUUAUAAGUCAAAAUUCAAGUUCAAAUAGAUAGGGAAUGGCAUCAGAUCAAAGCGAGUUUCGACUAAAAACAAGAAAGUCAAGCGUUGAAUUCAAAAGAUGGUGCGGUCUUACUUCAAGUUCAGUCGAUUAUGCAUUAGAGAACUAACAACCUGGGCACUGAGUUCUACUUAAUGAAUAUGCAUAUUUACAAGGUUAUAAUCAUCAUAAUCUCCAAUGCAAAUGCAUGAUGCAGCAGUCCUAAAUGAAUGCAUGAACAAUCUUCUUUUGUAUUACAAUUUUCGAAAUUUUUCAAUUUUUUUUGGUUUUUCUAUGCCUUAGAUGAUUAUGCAGUAAGAAAACAGAACAUAACAUCAAAUACUUCCUGGACCCUCCCCCAAACUUAAAUUACACAGUCCCUUGUGUAAUAAAAAUUCAGAAAGAGAGCUCAAGAGAAACAAACAACGAAACAGAAAAGCAAACUAAUGCAAUGAAAUAAUACAAUGGUUUAGGGGGAUGAGUGAUACUUUGGGUUUAGGCGAAGUAGGUGUCGAGGAACUCAUCCAUGCUCUCCUGCGUGUAAGAAGGAGCUGUGCUUGACUCUGGAGGUUCAUGCUCGUUGUCAAAACCCGUCUGCGUGUAAGAAGGAGCAAUUGGCGCUGGCGGUUCCUGCUCGAUGUGUAGACUCGACGUGUCAUCGAGCUCCCUGGUCGAGUCCGCCUCUGGACUUGACCGCUGAGCCUUCCGCUUAUUGUGAUGCCUUUGCGAACGUCUAGGGAGUUGUGCAGACUCCUCUUGGUUUUCCCUCUGGCGUGGUUCAAAGGAUGAAAAUCUGGGAGGAUCAGCCCUUACCGCGUGUCUUGGAGCCAUGCUUGUGGAACCGCUUCUUCUCAAAGUACCUUUCUCUUCUGAUGAUGAUGGGGAAUGCUUGGACUUCUUCUGGAGAUCUGUGAUCUGAAGCGCCAUCUUCUUCACCAUGGUGGUCAAUGAGUCUACCUUCUUUGACAAUCCUCGCAUUGCCUUCCCUUGAAACUUUCCCAACCCUUGCAGGAGUCCUAUGCGCUUGUGAGCUUCUCUCUCGCUUUUGGUCUGCCUUGGGGCUUUGUAUUCUUCGAAAAAGAACCGCUCUGGUGCAUAAUCAUCAGGAGCGUCUUGGGUUUGCUCCUGGUCGUCCUCGUGCAUUGCUUGAGGCGGUGGAGAGGCAGGGGCGACUUGUGAAUCGUAGAGAAUGAAGGAUGGUGGGCCGAAGUCGAUGUUCUCACCAGCCCUAAUCGUGGUGUGAUUCGUGCAUGGUAGAAGCAGCCUAGAAUUCCCUUCUUCAGGGUGGUUGAACACAUAGAGCAACACGCCUUCAGGAGCUGUUUUAUCAAGGUAACCCUUCUUCCUUAGGUACGCCAUAUCGAUCCAAGUUGGGGAAGCGUCUCCUGUUCCCACGUCUAUACCCGCAGCUACCAGAAUCGGUGUCAGAAUUCCGCCAAUGGUCAAGCUUCCUUUGCGCCCUGACCUAUGCAUUGUUGCAGCAUGCUCCUUGUAUCCCAAUAAAUGAUCCAAGAACACGGCUAUUAGAGGGGCGUUUCCUUUAUCUCCCACCAUUUCUGCCCCAUCUCUAGUGUUUCUCAAGGGGAAUAUGAGAGCUAAGUCCAGGAGUUGCAAUUCGCCUUCACUCAUGGUACCGGUGAUCUUCUUUGCGAAGAACAUGCUGGCAAUGGACUGGUGUAGAUACCUCACCACUGGGCUUCUAAUAGAGGAACUCUUGCUUUUCGAAGGUAUGUAAUCUCCUGGUCCGGCGAUCGUCUUCCACAAGGCUUGAAGUUCGCGCUUAUCGAAAUCUUGCACCAAUCCCUCUUUGCUCGGGAAUCCAUACAAGAGAUUGAGCUCCCUGAUCGUUAGUGAGUGGUCUCUUCCCUUGACAGAGAACGUGAUGUAUCCAAAACCUCUCCCAUUCUCUUCUUCUUGAUCAUCCGCAUAGAAGUGUACGUCGAGAGUAGCUAGGAGCUGGCAGGUCUCCACUUGAUAUCCCUCGAAACUAUACCCCAGGAAGGUUUUUAAACCGCACAUCUCAGCAAGGUAGUCCACAUCUUCAGCAAUUCCCAAAGCAGCCAUCGUUUCCCGAUGAGGAUGUCUUGUGCCUUCGAAAUCCAGUGACUUUAGGUAGCUAUAGUACUCCUCAGGAGUAGGAGGCUUCUUCUUCUUUCCUUUCCUUUUGGCGGGCUUAGCAGGCUUGAUCUCUUCUUCCAUUUCAACAGCUUCUUCUUCCUCCAUUUCAACAGCCUCUUCUUCUGGUGUGGCUUUUAAAUCCGCUUCCAUAACCCUCUUCCCGCAACUUAUCUCUCUUCUCCUUCUGGCCAAACGUUCAGCAUCGUCAUCUCUUGAACUCGGGGAGCCUCCUCGACGUCCCUCCUCGACGUGACGUCGAGUAGGUUCAUAACCUGCUUGACUCAGCACCAUUUCACUUCCUUCAUGUUCUGGUCUAUCUUCUCGCACAAAACUUGAAGGACCGGUCCAAGAAAGCGGAUCGUGAGGGCUAGCCUGGGGUUCUCUGAAACUCGUGAGGUCACGGGCUAGAAUCCUCUUGUUGAUAAUAGCAAAACCACGUGCAGCGUGUUCUGUAGAAGCUCGCUUUCUUUCUUGGUCAUGAUCCAUGGUGUUUCCUUCAGCAAAAGUAGAAAAGAGCAAGUAAGUGAAUCAAAGGAGCAGAGAAUGGAGUUUAGAAAGAAAAGAAGUGAAUUUUAAACCGAUUAAAUGUUGUAAAUCGAGUUUAAAACAAAAGAUUAGGAAGUUGCAAAGCUUUAAAGACUCAAAAGCAAAGUGGAAAUGAGAGAACUAGAGCUAUAAGAGAGAAAUGAGAGAAUUUGAAGAAAUGAGAGAAUGAGAGGAGUGAGGAGUGUGCUUCCCUUUUUAAAGACGCCCAAGGAGACCAAAAGCAAGGGUGGAGCGUGUUGGAGCAGGGAUUGUCGGAUCUAGGAUUCAAAUUUGAAUUUUGAACGGUUUGGCGUUGGACUCGACGUGUAGGCUCGAUGUGGUGGGGUCGAGUAGGAUGUCGGCAACUUCAAAUUUGAAUUUUGGAGGGACUUUGCUUGGACUCGAGGUGUUGACUCGACGUGGGGUCGAGUUGACUAGUUGACCGGAUUUGAAUUUGAAUUUUGGCUCCAAGGUUGACUUCCUGGAUAGUUGACUCGAUUUGAAUGGGCUUGGCUGUGUUGGGCUUGGCUUAUCAUCGAGUUGGGCUUCGUUUAAAGCUUAGAGCCGGUCCAUUGGGCUACUCGACUUGUCAUCGUGUAGGGUUGGUCGAGUCUGGCCCUCUUCCAUUUCCUUGACUCCAACAGAUUAAAUCCUGAGAAUCACAGACACUAAAAAAAACAUCAAAAAUAACAAGGGAUAAAGAGCUAUUUACAAAGAUAAACAUGGGAAUUCCUCCCAAGUGAGCUUGUUUAAAGUCACUGAGCUUGACUUUACUACUCUUUUAGGCGAGUUGAGGUUCCUGAAGAUGAACUGUAAAUCCUUCAGGAAUGACGCUAUCCGCGAGAUACUUCUUAAGCCGCUGACCAUUCACCUUAAACUCUGACCCGUCCUUAGCAAAUAGCGAUACCGCACCGAAUGGUAGAACUUCUUUGAUAGUGAAAGGACCAGACCACCUUGAUUUGAGCUUUCCCAGAAAUAGCUUGAGUCUGGAGUUGAACAGUAACACUUGGUCUCCAGCCUUGAAGUCUUUUGGUGAAAUCUUCUUGUCAUGGAAAGCUUUUGUUCUUUCCUUGUACACCUUUGAACUCUCAUAAGCUUCAAGCCUUAUUUCCUCAAGUUUGUGCAAGUCAACCAAUCUCUUCUCCUGAGCUUCUUUGAUAUCCAAGUUCAGCAACUUAGUAGCCCAGAUCGCUUUGUAUUUUACCUCAACUGGAAGAUGACUUAACUUCCCGUACAGCAUCUGAAAUGGCGUCCUUCCUAUUGGCGUCUUGUAUGCAGUCCGGUAUGUCCAAAGUGUAUCAUCUAACUUGGUAGACCAGUCUCUUUUUGAAACACCAACAACCCUGGCGAGUAUGGCCUUGAUCUGACGGUUGGAUACUUCUACUUGCCCGCUAGUCUGAGGAUGAUAGGGAGUGGCUACCUUGUGUUUUACACCGUGCUUCUUUAACAGACUCUCAAAGACCUUGUUGAUGAAAUGAGAACCUCCAUCACUGAUCACAGCCUUAGGGAUACCAAAUCUGGGGAAUAUGAUGCUCUUAAACAGCUUUAAGACCACUUUAUGAUCAUUAGUUGGAGAUGCAAUGGCCUCAACCCAUUUGGAGACGUAGUCCACAACAACAAGGAUGUACUUAUUACCAUAGGAAGCAGGAUUGAAUGGUCCCAUGAAAUCAAUUCCCCACACAUCAAAGACUUCAACCUCUAGGAUAGGAUUCUGCGGCAUUUCAUUCCUCCUGGUGAUGUUCCCCAUUCUCUGGCAGGGAUCACAUUUAGCAAUGAAUCCAUGUGCAUCUUUAAACAUGGAAGGCCACCAAAGGCCGGCUUGGAGGACCUUCUGUACUGUCUUGAAGGUAGCAAAGUGACCGCCAUAAGCAGAACCAUGACAGUGUUCCAGCACUCCUUGAACUUCCUCUUCAGCAAUACACCUUCUAAAUAGGCCAUUAGUACCCUUCUUAUACAAAUAAGGUUCAUCCCAGUAGUAAUGGUUGAUGUCUCUAAAGAACUUCUUCUUCUGGUAAGCAUCAAGGUAUUUGGGGAUUUCUCCACAGAUAAGGUAAUUCACAAGGUCAGCAUACCAUGGAAGCUCUUCUUCCUAGACCGCACAUGCUACUUCGAUUUCCUUCUUGUUGUACGCUAUUUCAUAACUCUUGAUGGCCAACAGCUGCUCUUCAGGCAUUGAAUCAUCUAUCGGGAUUUCAUCUUCAAUCCGCAUUCUGGACAAGUGAUCAGCUACUCCAUUUUCUAUACCCUUCUUAUCAACAAUCUCCAUAUCAAACUCUUGAAGUAACAAAAUCCAUCUCAGCAGUCUAGGCUUGGUGUCCUUUUUAGCAUAGAUGUGCCUCAAAGCUGCAUGGUCUGUAUAGACAGUAACCUUGGAUCCAACCAGAUAGCUCCUGAACUUCUCAAAUGCAAAGACUACAGCCAGCAACUCUUUCUCUGUUGUAGCAUAUCUUACUUGAGCAUCAUCCAAGGUUCUGCUUGCAUAAUAGAUAACAUGGAGCUUCUUAUCUAUCUUCUAACCCAGCACAGCCCCAACCGCAUAGUCUGAAGCAUCACACAUGAUUUCAAAAGGAUGAUCCCAGUUUGGUGCUUGGACGAUUGGAGCAGACACUAGAGCUUCCUUAAUCAUGUGGAAAGCUCUCAUACACUCUUCAUCAAAGACGAAUUCGGUCUCUUUACAAAGAAGUCGAGUAAGUGGUCUAGCAAUCUUUGAGAAAUCCUUGAUGAAUCUCCUGUAAAAGCCGGCAUGACCCAGAAAACUUCUGAUAUCCUUCACGUUUUUUGGAGGCUGCAACUGUACCAUGACGUCAAUCUUGGCCUUAUCAACCUCAAUCCCUUUCUCUGAUAUCUUGUGUCCCAAUACUAUACCCUCUCUGACCAUGAAGUGACACUUCUCCCAGUUCAGCACUAGAUUGGUCUCCUCACACCUUGCUAGAACCCUGCAUAGAUUUAACAAACAAGAGGAGAAAGAGGAGCCAUAGACAGAGAAAUCGUCCAUAAAGACUUCCACCGUCUCCUCAAUUAAAUCCGAGAAUAUUAAAGUCAUACACCUCUGAAAAGUAGCAGGUGCAUUACACAAUCCGAAAGGCAUUCUUCUAUAAGCGAAGGUUCCAUAAGGGCAAGUAAAAGUGGUUUUCUCUUGAUCAUUAGGGUGAAUUGGUAUUUGAAAGAAACCACUAUAUCCAUCAAGAAAGCAGUAGUAUUGGUGAUUAGCUAACCUUUCAAGCAUUUGAUCAAUAAAUGGUAAAGGAAAAUGAUCUUUUCUAGAUGCAGCAUUUAGCUUUCGAUAAUCAAUGCACAUUCUAUGUCCUGUUAUAGUUCUAGUAGGGAUUAAUUCAUCUUUAUCAUUCUUUAUAACAGUCAUACCUCCUUUCUUAGGCACACAAUGAACCGGAGAUACCCAAGUGCUAUCUGAAAUAGGGUAGAUUACACCCGCUUCCAAUAGUUUAAGUAUCUCCUUUUUAACUACUUCUUUCAGAUUAGGAGUCAAUCUCCUUUGAGGUUCAAUGCUAGAAUGAGAUUCAUUUUCGAGAUGGAUCCUAUGCAUGCACAAACUAGGUGAGAUUCCCUUUAUAUCAGACAAUGAAUAACCAAUUGCUCUUCUAUACUUUUUAAGUUCGGACAACAGCAGGUUCACUUCAUCAUCAUUCAAUGCAGCAUUAAUGAUCACAGGGUAAGUAGAGUUUGUUCUUAGAAAUGCGUACCUUAGCCCUUGCGGAAGGGGGUUGAGGUCUACCUUAGGUGCUUUGAGCUCAGGCCAGUCAUCUGAGGUAGGAGAAGGCCAUCUCGACGUGUCGUCGAGCUUGCAGGUCGAGUCUGCUUCCUUGACUUCUUCAGGAAUUGAACUGGGAAGGCCUACUCGACGUGUGGUCGAGUAGGUAGGUCGAGUCUGAUCUGAAACGUCUUCUUCCACUGUACUGACUUCUGCUACUGGCACCUCUAACUUCUCAAAGCAUUCUGAUGAUUCUUCUUCCUUAUGGGUAUCUAGCACCUUCUUAUACCCCAAUGUCUCUAAGUGUAAGAACCCCUCUUCUCCGUCUUUGGUAAGAGCACUCUGUAGGUAGUCUUCUUCAGUAAGCUCUUCAAGUAGUUCGUCAGCAAAACGAUCCAUUUCUUCUAUGUAGAACACUUGUCCGUCAAUGGUAGGUUUCUUCAUCGUCUUAGUGAUGUUGAAUGUCAUCUUAAAAUCUUCACCGAGGUUUAAAUCGAUCUUACCUCUUCUGACAUCAAUGAGAGCUCCAGCAGUAGCUAAGAAAGGUCUCCCUAGUAUGAGAGGGUCCUUUGGCUCUUCAUCCAUUUCUAAAACAACGAAGUCUGUAGGGAUCUCUACCCUUCCUAUUCUGAGAGGUAGAUCCUCUAACAUACCAUGAGGGACUCUUACGGAUCUGUCGGCUAAGAUUAGUUGGAUUUUGUAGGACUUGUACUUGUUGAAACCGAGUCUUCUUGCUACUGAGAGUGGCAUCAAACUGACUGAUGCACCUAGAUCACAUAGGCAUUUGUUGAAGAACAAAGGGCCUAGUGAACAGGGUAGAGUAAAUGAGCCAGGAUCCCCAAGCUUCUUCGGUAUGAUCUUCUUCUGUAUGAUAGCACUGCAUUCAUGGCUCAACACAACCAUUCCUUGUACUUCCUGAAUUCUCUCCAUUACCAUGUCUUUCAAGAACUUGUGAGAAUCUGGAAUUAGCAUGAAAGCAUCAAUGAGAGGCAUCCUUACUUCAAGUUCUUUGAUGUGUUUAGCAAACAUGGCUUUGUACUUCUCAAUGAUGUCCCUCUUGAAUCUUCCUGGGAAUGGUAUUUUGGGCUUUUAGGGUGGUGGAACGAAAGCUUUCUUCUUACCCUUAUCAACAGUCGGUUUUUCAAUUUGGGGACUCUUAGCUUGAUCCCUAGGUACAGUAUCCUGGUCAAGCUUAGUGGUGUCUUCUACUUGAGUUUCAUUCUGAAUAGGAUCCUCCCCUUCUUGAAUCUCACUGUCCUCAGUGACAGGAGCUUGGUUAGGUCGAGCACGCAGCUCUCGACCACUGCGGAGUUGAAUUGCAUUAGCAUACUCCCUUGGAUUCUGAAUAGCUUUCCCGGGUAGUUGUCCGGGAUGUUUAGGUGCAAAGGUAGAAGCAGCUUGGCUCUCCAUGUACUUCACCUUGGAGUUUAGAGCCUCAAUCUUGACAUGUAGAUCAUUGUAGGAGCAGUCGACUUUGUUUUGAAUCUCAGCCAUUUUCUUAUCACCAACUGCUUGACCGUGUAGAAGCUGCUGAAGCAUUUGCUUCAUGUCUUGAUCUUGUGCAGGUGGAGCUUGAUGGGGUUGCUGUGCAAAACCGGGUGGUGGAUUAUAGUGUUGAUAACCGCCACUAAACUGCUGCUUUGGGACAAAGCCUUGAUUGUAUGGUAUGAAUGGCUUGGACUGGUUCUGUUGUUGCUGAGGGUAAACCUGAUCCUGAGGGUUUGCAACAUUCGUGCUCCAGUAAGAUAGAUUAGGAUGAGCCGGCUUGUAGGGGUUGUAGCCCUUGUUGUAGCCACCUUGGUUCUGAAUGUAGCUGACUUCUGCAGCCUGAGUAUUCUCCCCCUCUUGGAUUUGAUAGUGCUCUUCUUCAGUGAUAUAGUGGACUUGCUUCUGUUGAGUAAGCAGAAAUUGAUCCAGCUUAUCGUUGAGAGCCUGAAUCAUCUCCUUAUUAUGCUUCGCAUCCGGAUCCCCAAUACCUCUGUUGGAGUGAUCAAAAUCCUCAUUAUAGUUACCAUCGGAGAGAGCUAAGUUCUCUACCAAUUCCCAGCCUUCCUCAACAUCCUUAUUCAAGAAAUUCCCAUUAGAGGCAAUGUCUAGCAACAUUCUGAUCUUGGGCAAAACUCCCAUGUAGAGUGUGCUGAGUAGUGAAGCCUUCUUGAAACCAUGGUGUGGACACUGUAUAGUGUAGCCUUUGAAUCUCUCCCAGGCCUCACAAAUGGAUUCAGACUGCUUUUGGGUAAAACUGGAUAUUUCAUUCCUUAGACGUGCAGUUCUUAAAUUUGAGAAGAACUUUGUUAAGAAGGCCUUCUUGCAAUCGUCCCAAGAUGUGAUGGAGCCAGCAGGUAGUGUCUUCUCCCAGUGGUGUGCUUUAUCUCCCAGCGAGAAGGGAAACAGACGCAACUUGAAGCUAUCUUCACUAACACCAUUUAUCUUGGUAAGGCUGCAGAGCCUAUCAAAAUUAUCCAAGUGAUCCAAGGGAUCUUCCAGAGGCAACCCAUGAAACUUGUUACCUUGAAUCAUUGAGAUCAAUCCACUCUUGAUCUCGAAAUUGUUGUUCUGGACAGGAGGUGGAACGAUGCCUUGUCUCUGUUGAUGGUUGCGUGGUGAAUCACCAUCACCAAUGUUCCGUGGUAUACCAACUCCUUGAUUAUCUUGAUCUUGUGGUUCCAUGGCUAUUGGAUUGUGCGGUUCACAAUCGUCUCUGGCUCUACGUUCUCUCAACUCACGAGCUAACCGAUCGAUGUUGUCUUUAUAACUGAGGAGGUUGUUGGAGCCUUUAGAACGAGUUUGCAUGCAAAGUAGUUAGUCUCGACGUCUAGACUCGACCUGUGGUUGAGUAGAGUACCUGCAGCACAAAAACAAGCAGAUGAAAUGAAGAGUUAGUAACCAAAGGAAAGAAAGAACUUGAUCUUAGCAAUUCUAAAAUCUUGAAUGUAACAAGCAGACAUCCAAAUGGCAACGGCGCCAAAUUGAUACUAGGAUUUUUACUAUCAAUUACCCUAGAUUACUAUCAUGUCAUUGCAGCAAUUUAGGUUAUUAAUCCAAUCAUGUGCUCUAAUUAUCAAUCAAGAUGUGAUCAGAGAAUACUAAGUCAAGCCAAGCAGAAUAGAGGUUUGUUUAUCUAACAAUCCUAAGCGAACAUGCAUAAAGAGAAAUAGCUAUCGAUACUAAGCAAUAAGCAAGCAGCAAGUGCAGAGAAUAGGUAAACAACAAGUAAGCAAGAUUCAAGCAAUCAAUAGAGAUAAAAGGUCUUGAGGAAUGGGAUAAUCGAUUAUAGCAGUCUCCUUAGUCUAUCUAGGUGGUUAACAAACUCAAUCAAGCUAUCCCUAGACAAUAGAUUUGAAUACAAAUCAAUCCACUCUCGUGACAGAGAUUCUCAAGCUAAAUCACUUUCAUACUCAAUUCUCAUUGAAGAAAUAUAACCUAGCAGGCAUUAUGAUUCAAUCUAAUAUAGUCAAUAAGCAUUCUAAACAUCCAAUCUCUUGGGCUAGAGUAUGCAAAUCUCUAGAAAAGUUUGUUCAGACAUUUCAUCAAACACCUUGUGGGCAUGGAAAUGUCUAAAAUCAAUUUCCAAUUGAUCAGAGAAGAAAUAGCAUUAAGAUCUACUAAACUAGAAGGGAAAUUAAGCAAUUCUACACUUAACCACCUAAAUAUACUAAGGAUUCCACACCUAAUCUAACCCAUCCUCAAGAACCCUAAUCCACUACUCAAGAACACUGAAGAACAUCAUGCAUAAAAACCCAGAAAAUUGCACAAACCCAGAAAUCAUUGAAAAGCAAGUAUGUUAUAGAUGAGAAGGAGAUCUACAACUUUGAUGAAGAAACGAAAUUCAAAAACUCAAAGAUUCAAAGGGAAAAACGAUUACAAAACUAGAGUUUUUAGAGAGAGCAGCGGAAUAUCUGCUGGGUAAAAGGAAUAUCCGCUGGAUAAUAGCGUGAACCCCUAUUUAUAGGAAUACUAGGUUGCCCUAAUUUGGCUACAAGACAAAAUAAGAAGUCGGUGGAGCACCCCCUCGACGUGAAGUCGAGCCAACCACGUCGAGCCCGUGUGAUUCUUCAAAGGAAGCUCCUUCUGGCGUCCUACUCGACGUGUCAUCGAGUCCGUGUGGUCGAGUCUGCUCCCAGGCGGCUUCCUGGCGUCCUACUCGACGUGAAGUCGAGCCAUGACGUCGAGUCUGGUCCUGGGUGAUCUUGAACGACUUCAUUCCUCUCCAAUACGAUCCCAAGUCUAGCUCCAAGGUCGUGUUGGUUCCUCCUUGCUCCAUUAAGUCCCAAAUAAGCUCCAAAGUACCUGAAACUCAUCCAAGAUGCAACAUGCUAUGCCAUGCAAUGCAAAUCGUACUAAGUGAUGAAAAUGUUAUGAAAAGGACUCUGGAUGCAAUGAAAGAGAGAUG
rnacentral:lncRNA from 1 species